GACGAACGCUGGCGGCGUGCUUAACACAUGCAAGUCGAACGGUGAAGCGCCUUCCUUUUUGGUGGGUGUGGAUGAGUGGCGAACGGGUGAGUAACACGUGAGUAACCUGCCCCCUUCUUCUGGAUAACCGCAUGAAAGUGUGGCUAAUACGGGAUAUUCUGGGUCUGUCGCAUGAUGGGUCUGGGAAAGAUAUUGUUUCGGUGGGGGAUGGGCUCGCGGCCUAUCAGCUUGUUGGUGGGGUGAUGGCCUACCAAGGCGGUGACGGGUAGCCGGCCUGAGAGGGUGGACGGUCACACUGGGACUGAGACACGGCCCUGACUCCUACGAGAGGCAGCAGUGGGGAAUAUUGCACAAUGGGCGCAAGCCUGAUGCAGCGACGCCGCGUGAGGGAUGGAGGCCUUCGGGUUGUGAACCUCUUUCGCCAGUGAAGCAGGCCUGCCUCGUUUGUGGGUGGGUUGACGGUAGCUGGAUAAGAAGCGCCGGCUAACUACGUG
rnacentral:rRNA from 1 species